UAUGAUUACAACAAGUGGAACGAU
rnacentral:siRNA from 1 species